CCCUAGAGGCAAUUAAUCCACACACAUACCGUCACGUCGCACUGGGUGCCCCACCAAAAAAGGGGUUGAGCGAUGGGGUAUGUGGAGGCCUAAC
rnacentral:sRNA from 1 species